rnacentral:lncRNA from 12 species
GGACAACUGCCUACACCUGCAAAGGGCUCAGCCUAUUGAGCGUAGCCAUGUGACAGCUCUGGCCAGUGAGCAAACAGCAAAAUCUGCCCUGGGUUCAGGGAAACUUUUUUUUACUUCCCAGAUGAAAGGAGAGAGCCUGGCUAGCAUGGUCCUGUCCCCUUCUCCUUGCCUUAAGAACGAAUCCUGGAGGCACAGCAGCUGUCUUGCCACCAUGAGGCGACAAGCACAAGGACAAAAUCCAACACGGUGAGGUUGGCAGAACAGGAAAAAGAACCUGAGUCUUGGAUGACCCAGCCUGGCCUGCCCCCCACUUCCCAUCACCUUGUGAUGUGAGAAAAACCCAUCUCAGUCCAUUGGAUCCACAGGAAAGAGCAGCUUCACGGCCUCGGGUGGAAAUUGCGGCUAUACUACACCACAUCAGAAUGUGCUGUUCUCAUUUAUUUUUUAAUACAAACCCAUCUUUGCAUGUGGGCCCUGGCAGAAAAUUGGUGGUUACGAAAUAUUGACGAAGGAGGUAACAUAGGAGGGUUCCAGCAAAAUAGAGUACCCGUUCCAUUUGUUAAGUGGACAUGUCAAACUGUGUGGAAGAGCCGCAGGAAGGUCCGUCCAGCUGGCCUGUGCCUGCAGCCAGCUGAUGGUGUCCCUCGGUGCCAUCGCGCUCCUUCGAGAAGCAAUAAAAAUGGCAUCCACCGGGCAACAGCUGACAGAUGCAAAGUGAUGCUCUGCACGUUACCAGCUGUCAGGACACGGAGUGCGGCCCGGCCACGGCAGACCCUUCCUCUUUACUCCCAUCAUCCUGACCCCUCUGAGCCCACUCAUGGCAGACAUAUGGCAGCCAUUUGGACUUACUUCUCCUUUCCCUAUAUCCAAGUCACGUUGACGAUGGGGGAUUUACCACCGCCCAAAAUGGAGUGUUUAGCUUUCUUUCAGAUCAUUCCAAACUUGGGGACUGCUAAAAGUUUUGUAACUACAUAA